CGCGAGGCCAUUGAUUCAACGCGCGUGAAAAAUGAGCCGCUGAACCCGUAUCCAGAGCCCGCGAGCUGAUUCUUUUUUUUUCUUAACCCGGACCGGAGCGGCGUGCACGAGGCUGAUAAGACUAAAGUGCUGAGGCGGAAAUGUUUCCACGAGGACAGGAGCAGCAGGAGCGCGAGCGAUUCUCUCUUCUUUUAUCAAAACUAAAAACACGGACUCUGAUUUGCUGAAAUUGAACUUCUCUCUUUCUCUGUCCUCGUGCUUUAUCUCCCUCACUGUCCUGAGUGCGCGUGUGUGUGUUUGUGCGUGUGUGUGUUUGUGUGUGGCAGUAAAGGCCUGUCGAUAUGCGUGGGUAGGGACCGUAAAUACACAGACAAAAGCAGGGAGAGCGCGAGCAAAGCCAAGUGCACGUUAGAGAUUUAUCAAAAGUCUAAAUUUAACUCUGAUAUCGCGAGAACUGAGGCGCCAAAACACCAGCAGGAAUAAAGAUUUACGAUCGAGAAUUAUGUCGAGAGAUUUCUCACGAUCUUCCUCGACAUGAACACAACAAACGGCCCAGCCCUUCAAAAUAAAAGCCCAAUUUUCUCCUAUUAUUGUUGUCCUCUCUCUCCUGACCUCUGGGUCUGUUUUUUGGUUUUAUAUUUUAACUCUUUAAAAUCAGUUUCUGUUCAAAUCUCUAAUCUGACCCGGAUGUCUGGAUUUCCAUGAACCCCCCUGUUGUCUGUGUUUCUCAUGUAAACAAGUCCAAACCUCGCGGAAACAGCUCUGUGCGCUCGCGGGUCAGAUCUCAGCGGACUGUCUCCUCUUCCUCUCCUCUCUCGGACCUUCCUCUCCCCUCUUCCUCUCCUCUCUCCCCUCUUCCUCUCCUCUGAUCGCUCUCAGUUUGACUCCAUGUAAUAACCAACAUCUGGCCUCGCGCAGCCGGGACGGACAGGCAGGUCACGCUGAACCUCGCCAAACCCCCGCGCGCACCUCAACCAGACUCCCCCUUAUUGGACGGGAACAAGAACCAGAACCCCCAUCCGCCUCCCCUCCUUCUCCUCCCCAGACUCCCUCUGGCCUGUCAGGCUGUCAGUCCGGAGCCCGGUUCAGGAACAGUUCACGCUGUCAGUGGACCUCCAAAACCAGGACAGGAGAGCCAAAGGUCCGAGGAGGGGAGAAGAGGGUGAGGAGGGGGGAGACUCAGGUGGAGGAACCCAAAGAAGAGAGGUCUGACUACCUGAGGGAAAAACCGGGACAUUCUGGUCCAGUUAGCAGAACAAGAAGGAGGAAAAUCUGGGCGAGUGUGAGGGGAGGAGGGGAGAGAGGGGAGAGAGGGGUGAGGAAGAAGAGGCUGAAGAAGAGCAGAGGGACUCAGCUCCUCUCUCUUGGGGGAGCAGGGAGAGGAAAGGGUGGAGGAGAGGAAAGACAGAGGUAGAGACAGAGGAGGAGAGCCCGGGGAAGACGGCGUCACGCUCACAACCCUCGGUCUGAGAAAAGGCUCGUGCAGCUCUCAGGGCCCUGCAGAGGAGCGCGAGCUGCUGCUGCUGGCACGGCACGCACCGGCCCCGCUACACGGAGGAUUCUGCAGCACGGGCGGAGGGGUGGGGGUUAAGCGCGCGCACGAGGUGUGUUUUUUAGGGGUAAAGUAGCACCGCGAGCCCCCAGACCGAGCAGUCCCCGUCAGCUGGUCUGCUGUAGGUCGACUCUGAUGGUUCCGGAGCUCGAGAUUUAUGGCUUCUCCCGAACCGGGCACGCAAACGUCUGUAGUCCCCUCACCGAGACGACCUCCUCAGCCAAGCAGCACCGGGAUUCACGCGCCGAGGAGGAAGAAGAGGAGCGAUCAGACUGAAGAGGAAGAGGGUCAGACCGGCUGCGCGUAAUUACGCACAACAAUCAGAGGAAACGUGUCCAAGAUCCCCGGGUCCACGGUGUCCGCACGUGUCCACGACAGAGAGAGAGAGAGAGAGAGGGAGAGAGAGAGAGAGAGAGAGCAGGUAAGGUCCGCCGGGAUGCUCCUCGCGCAGUGUCCCGGUGUGUUCCCGUGGCGUCCCCAUCCCACGCGCUCCGCCGCAGACAUGUCAUUAAUUAUCUGUUGUGUGUGACCGUGGUCUCUCUCUCGAGCUCACAGAGGCAUCCGGGGUGUGCCCGCGUGCAGGCUCUGAUGCUAGCCAAAAAGUUUUUUCUCUCUCCAGUGUGUGUGUGUGUGUGUGUGUGUGUGUGUGUGUGUGUGUGUGUGUGUGUGUGUGUGUGAAGACAGAUGCCUGAGGGUAGGUAACAAACACGCGGCUCUGUCUCUGUUUGUGUGUCUCUCUCAGCGUCAUUGAAGAAGUUUUGCAGGAGGUGUGUGUGUGUGUGUGUGUGUGUGUGUGUGUGUGUGUGUGUGUGUGUGUGUGUGUGUGUCUUGUAGUGAAUAGGGACCUGACGGCUAGGUGUAAAGAAAGAAGAUGCAUGUUAGCUGCUCUGUGAUUUAUGAUGGUGUGAAGAGAUUGCUUACUCAAGAAGCCGUCCCGUCCCCCUCCCUCUC
rnacentral:lncRNA from 1 species